rnacentral:rRNA from 1 species
UGAGGAAUAUUGGGCAAUGCCCGCAAGGGUGACCCAGCAACGCCGCGUGGAGGAUGAAUGUCGUAAGAUUGUAAACUCCUGUUAGAGGGGAAGAAUAGUACCGGUUGGACCGGUAUAUGACUGUACCCUCAGAGAAAGCCCCGGCUAACUACGUGCCAGCAGCCGCGGUAAUACGUAGGGGGCAAGCGUUGUCCGGAUUUACUGGGUGUAAAGGGCGCGCAGGCGGGAUAAAAAGUCAGUGGUGAAAUCCUACAGCUUAUCUGUAGAACUGCCUUUGAUACUUUUAUUCUUGAGUUCGGGAGAGAGAGACGGAAUUCCAGGUGUAGUGGUGAAAUACGUAGAUAUCUGGAAGAACACCGGUUGCGAAGGCGGUCUCUUGGUCCGACACUGACGCUGAGGCGCGAAAGCGUGGGGAGCAAACA